CCUACGGGUGGCAGCAGUGAGGAAUAUUGGUCAAUGGACGAGAGUCUGAACCAGCCAAGUAGCGUGAAGGAUGACUGCCCUAUGGGUUGUAAACUUCUUUUAUAUGGGAAUAAAAUGUUCCACGUGUGGGCUUUUGUAUGUACCAUAUGAAUAAGGAUCGGCUAACUCCGUGCCAGCAGCCGCGGUAAUACGGAGGGUCCGAGCGUUAUCCGGAUUUAUUGGGUUUAAAGGGAGCGUAGGUGGAUUGUUAAGUCAGUUGUGAAAGUUUGCGGCGCAACCGUAAAAUUGCAGUUGAAACUGGCAGUCUUGAGUACAGUAGAGGUGGGCGGAAUUCGUGGUGUAGCGGUGAAAUGCUUAGAUAUCACGAAGAACUCCGAUUGCGAAGGCAGCUCACUGGACUGCAACUGACACUGAGGCUCGAAAGUGUGGGUAUCAAACAGGAUUAGAUACCCGAGUAGUC
rnacentral:rRNA from 1 species